UAGAAGCAAGGAGCCAGCAAGUCUAGCAGACAUGCAAGCCCUGCCUCAGCUUCUCUCCCAACACUCAGCUUUUCUCCCAAUACAGGAACUUUUGGAGGUCACUUCUGGGGCCUUUGCUGAGCAGGCCACUCCUUGCUUCUCCUGCAGAUGACAAGGUUUCCAGCAUGAUUAUUGCUAUGACUGAUGGAACAAUGAUGAAACAUCCAUCUUUGGACACUCUCAAAGAAGGAGUACUUCAUUGAAGUCAGCUUGAACAACGGCAAAACAUUCAAGAGCAAUGUCAGCAUCACCAGCACCACAUGUACUCGUGGAACAAAUACCACGGAGCAGCACCUAGCACAGAGGAAGGCCCCCUGCCCUGGGCAUCUGUGGGAAACCAGGGCCCAAGUCUGCGGUGAGCUGGUGCAGAAACUCUGAGCUGAGGAGCUAACAUUACACCCAUCUGCAACUGAGAGAACCUGCCAGGCUCCAGCAAAACCAAACAGGACAUUCUCCCCAGGAGACACCGUCCUCAUCCAGGGGAACCAGGAUUCUCAUGGAAAAUCAUUUCCUACUGAAGACGAGGUCAGAGGAAAAACUCCCAGGUAUCCCAAAGAGAGGCAGCAGAUACAAGAAACAAGGAGAUUCAAAGCCCAGAGAGUAAAGAGAAUAGAGUGAUCUAAAAGGAACAUUGAAAUAAGGGUGUAUAAAAUGUUCAAAAAAAGAUAAAGGAAUAAAACUAUAUGACAAGAACAGCUAAUUAUAACAAAUGCAGAGUUUUAAAAGGACCGAAGUUCUAAAAUGCAUUAAUGAAAAAUGAAACACAACCAGAAAGUUCAAGACAAAAAGUGGAAUAACUCCAAAGACAGAUCUGAGCAGCAUCUGCCCUGCAGCCCCACUGACCGAGAUGGAAACCAGAAACAGGAUGUUGUGUGCUGGGAGCAGAUAAGGAGUGUCUAGCAGGGCAGCUCACUCCACCAUCCUCAGCCCACUCCACCAUGCUCAG
rnacentral:lncRNA from 1 species